rnacentral:rRNA from 1 species
GACGAACUCUGGCGGCGUGCUUAACACAUGCAAGUCGAACGGUAAGGCUCCAGCUUGCUGGGGUACACGAGUGGCGAACGGGUGAGUAACACGUGGGUGACCCGCCCUGCACUUCGGGAUAAGCCUGGGAAACUGGGUCUAAUACCGGAUAGGACCGCACCGUGAGGGUGUGGUGGAAAGUUUUUUCGGUGUGGGAUGGGCCCGCGGCCUAUCAGCUUGUUGGUGGGGUAAUGGCCUACCAAGGCGGCGACGGGUAGCCGGCCUGAGAGGGUGGACGGCCACAUUGGGACUGAGACACGGCCCAGACUCCUACAGGAGGCAGCAGUGGGGAAUAUUGCACAAUGGGCGGAAGCCUGAUGCAGCGACGCCGCGUGGGGGAUGACGGCCUUCGGGUUGUAAACUCCUUUCACCAUCGACGAAGGGUUUCUGACGGUAGAUGGAGAAGAAGCACCGGCUAACUACGUGCCAGCAGCCGCGGUAAUACGUAGGGUGCGAGCGUUGUCCGGAAUUACUGGGCGUAAAGAGCUCGUAGGUGGUUUGUCGCGUCGUCUGUGAAAUUCCGGGGCUUAACUCCGGGCGUGCAGGCGAUACGGGCAUAACUUGAGUACUGUAGGGGAGACUGGAAUUCCUGGUGUAGCGGUGAAAUGCCCAUAUAUCAAGAGGAACACCGGUGGCGAAGGCGGGUCUCUGGGCAGUAACUGACGCUGAGGAGCGAAAGCAUGGGGAGCGAACAGGAUUAGAUACCCUGGUAGUCCAUGCCGUAAACGGUGGGCGCUAGGUGUGGGUUUCCUUCCACGGGAUCCGUGCCGUAGCUAACGCAUUAAGCGCCCCGCCUGGGGAGUACGGCCGCAAGGCUAAAACUCAAAGGAAUUGACGGGGGCCCGCACAAGCGGCGGAGCAUGUGGAUUAAUUCGAUGCAACGCGAAGAACCUUACCUGGGCUUGACAUAUACAGGAUCGCGCCAGAGAUGGUGUUUCCCUUGUGGCUUGUAUACAGGUGGUGCAUGGUUGUCGUCAGCUCGUGUCGUGAGAUGUUGGGUUAAGUCCCGCAACGAGCGCAACCCUUGUCUUAUGUUGCCAGCACGUUGUGGUGGGGACUCGUAAGAAACUGCCGGGGUUAACUCGGAGGAAGGUGGGGAUGACGUCAAAUCAUCAUGCCCCUUAUGUCCAGGGCUUCACACAUGCUACAAUGGUCGGUACAGUGGGUUGCCAGUCCGUGAGGGCGAGCUAAUCCCGCAAAGCCGGUCUCAGUUCGGAUCGGGGUCUGCAACUCGACCCCGUGAAGUCGGAGUCGCUAGUAAUCGCAGAUCAGCAACGCUGCGGUGAAUACGUUCCCGGGCCU